rnacentral:rRNA from 1 species
AUGCUCACGCGCUCGAACUACAGCGAGUGGGCGUUGAUCAUGGAGUGUAACCUCCAUGCGGCGAGCCUCUGGGUUCCCAUGGAGGACGACCUGGUCGAGAGAAAGGAGGACCGGAAAGCCGUGGCAGCACUCAUGCGUGCCAUGCCGCCGGAGAUGCAAGGCAUGCUCGCGGCGAAGGCAAGCGCCAAGGAGGCGUGGGAAGCCAUCCGUACCCAGCGCCUCGGCAGCAACCGCGUGCGCGAGGCGAACGCGCAGAAGCUGCGGGCGGACUUCGAGAACAUCGCCUUCAAGGAGGGCGAGCUCGUUGACGACUUCGCCAUGCGGAUCUCCAGCGUUGCGUCACAACUCCGAGCGCUCGGCGACACCAUGGACGAUGCGAGAGUCGUGCGGAAAUUUCUUCGAGUCGUGCCAGCUCGCUUCGCUCAGGUAGCUUUCUCCAUCGAGACCUUGCUUGACCUGAGUGAGCUCUCCAUAGAGGAGCUCACGGGCCGGUUGCGGGUGGUC